rnacentral:lncRNA from 1 species
CUCACCUUCUGGACAUUGCUCUUAGCACUAUCCUUUCUAAGAGAAGCUACAGGUUCAAGGGGGGAAGUCUGGAGUCUUCCAGAUGUUAGGACUCUCAGCCCCAGCACCAUGUCUACCUGCAUGCCACCAUGCGUCCUGCCAUGACAAUAAUGACUAAACUCUGAACUUGUUCCAGGAGUCCCAGAACAGUGACUGAUGACACGGGCAUCUAGCAACUGUCAAAUCCACCGUUGGAAUGGAUGUCUACUUCUCUGCUAAUAUGAUUCCUUGGUGGCUGAGUUUCCUGGCUUUCAUCACUGUAAUCGAUUCAGCUUCAUUUGGAAGUUUUACAGUCUCUGCAGCACUUUCCACAGUUGGGAGAUAAAUAGCAAUUAAAAACUCUUAGGCUGUCGGGGUGGCUCAGUGUGUCAGGGUGCUUCUUGCUAAGCCUGAGGACCUGAGUUCAAUUCCUGGGACUCAUGAGUUAGAAUGAGAGAGCUGACUCCUGAAAGUUGUCCUCUGACCUCCACAUACAUGCUUCUACACACACACACACACACACACACUUACAAACAUACACACACACACAUACACACAUAAACAUGCACAUACACCAUUUUUAUUGAUUUUUAAAAAUUCUUUAAUUACUACUCAUAUUUACAUAUCCAUCCCCCCAUUCCCUUGCCCUCCAACCCUCCAUGUUCCCCAUCAACCUCCCCAACCCAUCCCCCAACUCCUCCCCAGGGAUAGUGAGGCCCUCCACCAGGGACCUUCAAAGUCUGUCAUAUAGUUUGGGGGAGGGCCUAGGCCCUCCUUGCUGUAUCUGGGCUGCAAUAGUAUCCCUCCAUAGGGAACGGGCUCCCAAAGUCCAUUUGUGCUCUAGGGUUAAAGACUGGCUCCACUGUCAGAGGUCCCAUAGACUGUCUUGGCCUCCGAGCUGGCACCCACAUUCAGAGGGCUUGGUUUGGCUCAAUGCUAUUUCCCCAGCUUUAUGACUAGGGUCUCCAUGCUCUCACUAGGUCAGGUCAACUGUUUCUGCAGGUCUCUCCAGUCCCAUCUUAGCUCCUUUGUUCAUCCCUCCUCCCUCUCCACAACUGGAUUUCAGGGGUAUGGUUCAGUGCUUAGCUGUGGGUACCUGUUUCUGCUUUGAAAAGCUACUGGAUGAAGGCUCCAGGAAUGGUAACCAAGAGCCUUAGAGGGAGAGACUUGAAGAAACCUGCCAAAAGGAUGCUACUGCCAGGAGUUCACACCCUUACUAAGCACCCCUGACAGAGAAAGAAGAAACUGGAUACAUCCUGAGAACUUGGCAAAGUCUACCUCGCAUACUGAUGCCCCAGGAGUAGAUUUCCUAUUGGAGAAAUGAGAAGAGCUGCCAGAGUUAGCAAAAGACUAUAAAGGAAGUUGUGGAGACAGUCCUGGGUGGCCACAGGAAGCCUCACCUCAGCACAGAAGCACAUCUAAAAGGAGCUUCAACGUCAAAAGCCACCAAGUCACCAUGACUCCUGGAAGCAACAAAGGAGGACUUUACAAAUGAGUCCCCCAUCCUUCUGCCAGCACCAGACGCCUUACUCAGGGAUGCUGCCUUCUGGAGCCUCUAAACCCCAGUGACCUCCCUCUCCACCUCCAAGCUACUGCCACCCUUCACUCAUGACCAGGCACACUUUCACAGCUCCUCCCAAUGUCUGACCACCCUCUGAAUGCCAUUAACACCACAGAUGUACCAGGAAAUGGCUGUGAAGCCUACAGUAGUCAUCAAAAUGAGACAAGGGAAAGGAUGAAAUAUUUAAGGCUUAAUAUCUAUUGUCCCCUUCAUAAAGUUGUCACAACAAGAAUGAUACAAAUGGGAUGUUUUAAAAGAAAGAAUGAAAUGUUUUACAUGAUCACAUAAACCAUGACACGAUAGCCUGGGGACAUAGCUCAACAGCAGAGCACCUGCCUAGCAUGAACAAUGCCUUGACUUUGAUUCCAAGUAAGUGAAGAAAUAAAGUAUAACCUCAGAAACAUAAAAAAUUUUUCAAUCAAAGUAUUUUUUGGUGUUCUUUGCACAGCUCUCAAUUUGGGAGAAUGAUAUAAUAAAGCC